UUCUCGCCUGCCACGCGGGAGGCCCGGG
rnacentral:piRNA from 6 species